AGGUCACAUGUAACUUCUGUUAAAUUGCAGUGACAUCACUGAGCUGUGGAGAUCUCUGGGGGGAGACCCCUUGCUUGCCACUCAAAUCCUAAAGAUCCUGAUAGACAAGAUAAAGACUCCAACAAGACAAGAAGGCCGCAUCACCUCAGAGACUGAAAUCGACAGGGAUUUGGCAGCUGCUGAACCUCUCUCAGCAACAUGUGCCAUCUCUGAGGUGGUGUCAGCACUGCAGUCGAGCAAAGCUGUGCAGGAGCUGCUCCCAGAGUUGUUUCCUGUUCUCCUGCAGCAGAUCAGCCAAACCCUAGGACAAGAGAUGCCUUUGCCAAUGAUAAGCAGCCGGAGGGAAUUCCAAAAAGACCUACAACAUACUGAGGGCGACCCUUGCCGGCUUUCUAUCCAAGCAUUAGAGGCUGUGCUUUUCAGAGCUGGGAAUGAGAGACUGGUGAGAGCGCUCAGGGAGCAGAGAACACAGAGUCUGCUUGAAAACCCCAAGACUCACCAUGAGGGAGUGUGUCUGCUGGUGAGUGUUCUGCUAAGAUCUGAACUAGUAACACCUGAGAUCUUACAGAGCCUCCUCCCCUGGGUGAAUUCCCCAACACAAAACCUCCGAGUCACCAGCACAGCUUUCCUUGCCCAG